AUUGAACGCUGGCGGCAUGCUUUACACAUGCAAGUCGAACGGCAGCGCGGGCUUCGGCCUGGCGGCGAGUGGCGAACGGGUGAGUAAUACAUCGGAACGUGCCCAGUAGUGGGGGAUAGCUCGGCGUAAGCCGGAUUAAUACCGCAUACGACCUGAGGGUGAAAGCGGGGGAUCUUCGGACCUCGCGCUAUUGGAGCGGCCGAUGGCAGAUUAGCUAGUUGGUGGGGUAAAGGCCUACCAAGGCGACGAUCUGUAGCUGGUCUGAGAGGACGACCAGCCACACUGGGACUGAGACACGGCCCAGACUCCUACGGGAGGCAGCAGUGGGGAAUUUUGGACAAUGGGCGAAAGCCUGAUCCAGCAAUGCCGCGUGUGUGAUGAAGGCCUUCGGGUUGUAAAGCACUUUUGGCGGGAACGAAAAGGACUGUGCCAAUACCACGGUUCGAUGACGGUACCCGCAGAAUAAGCACCGGCUAACUACGUG
rnacentral:rRNA from 1 species